ACGGAAGGCAGCAGUGGGGAAUAUUGCACAAUGGGCGAAAGCCUGAUGCAGCGACGCCGCGUGAGUGAAGAAGUAUCUCGGUAUGUAAAGCUCUAUCAGCAGGGAAGAAAAUGACGGUACCUGACUAAGAAGCCCCGGCUAACUACGUGCCAGCAGCCGCGGUAAUACGUAGGGGGCAAGCGUUAUCCGGAUUUACUGGGUGUAAAGGGAGCGUAGACGGUUUGGCAAGUCUGAAGUGAAAUGCGGGGGCUCAACUCCUGAACUGCUUUGGAAACUGUCGAACUAGAGUGCAGGAGAGGUAAGUGGAAUUCCUAGUGUAGCGGUGAAAUGCGUAGAUAUUAGGAGGAACACCAGUGGCGAAGGCGGCUUACUGGACGGUAACUGACGUUGAGGCUCGAAAGCGUGGGGAGCAAACAGGAUUAGAUACCCUGGUA
rnacentral:rRNA from 1 species